rnacentral:lncRNA from 1 species
UUCUUCAUUCUUAAUUUGCUGAGAUCAUUUCCUCUAUAUUGGCCUUAGAUUUUAUAAAUUUUGAGAAGAUAUUGGAGUAUUAUUACUAAGGUUUGCCAUACCAUCCGGUACCAUAUCGUACCAUACUAAUACUAGUACCUAACUGAUAUGCAGUCUCAUAUCGUACCAACACUCGGUACGCAUCGUUGUCUCAUAUAGUAUUGACACUCGGUACGUCUUGUUGUCUCAUACCGUACUAUGUACGAUACUACCAGUACAAGGUUUGGUACCGAGAUAGCAAAUUUUAAUUAUAACAUUAGGUUCUAAAGAAAAUUUAGAGAAAAAGUUACUCUUCUACUAAAGCCCCAGGUAAUACAGAGCUCAAAUCUCAUAUACAUAUAAACUACCAUAUGUAAUAUUACCAUCCUAGGAAAAACAAUAUAUUACAUAUAGGCAUGAUUCUUUUUUGGUUAAUAUUUCACUAUUAAAAGAAUUUAUUUUUUUCAUUGUUGCAGUCUAAACCGCUGAAAUGAACCUCAAAGGGUCCAAGACCAGAAUAUGCUUAAAGAAAGUGUUCUCUAGUUUUUUUUCUUGAGUUAUUUUAUUUUCUCUUUUUUUUUUCUUGCAAUCUAGACAAGCAUUGGAAUGAAUGUAGUGUUCAUAAUGAAAAUUAGCUCAAUGUGUAGACUAAUAUAAGGUUAACUUCUCAGAUACAACAAAUUCUGAUGCUAAAGGAGUUAAUUGCUUCAUAUAUGUCAUACAUACUAUAAUACCAAUAUCUCUUACACCCUUAAGUCGAGAAGGUCACGAAUUAGGAGCCGAAAGUUGCAGAUCAAAGGUCAAAAGUAUGUCCUCCCCCCCCCCUCUCUCUCUCUCUCUCUUCUUUCGUCUCUUCUUUNNNNNNNNNNNNNNNNNNNNCAGAUCAAAGGUCAAAAGUAUGUCCUCCCCCCCUCCCCUCUCUCUCUCUCUCUCUUUUCGUCUCUCUUUUGGAUGAAGCCUGGAGGUACCAGCAAGGUGCUGCACAUUGUGUGUCAGUACGGUAAAGUAUAGUACUGCAUCGAUAUGGUCCCCGUGCGGUGUGGUCACCAGUACCGGUUUUACGAACCUUGAUGUUUGAUAUAAGAAUAUGCAUGCACAAGUACUGGUGGCUACCAUACUAUGUCGGUUUCGACUUACUUAACAUGAAUCAUUCAUCAAUAUCAAAUAUUUCUCAUAUCAUAAGGUAUCAAUUUCAUAGCUAACACCAUGUCAUGUUGCAUAUCAAUUGCUAACAUCUAGUGGAGCCAUAGUUGAACAUAGAUCAAAGAACACAUGAAUAUAAGCAUUUUUACAUCCAAAUGGCAC